CGUUAGCUAUUGCAGCGGCAUCCUUUUUUAGGAGGCCAUAGGACUUCUAAAAAAGAUACAGCGGAAAGAGCGACCCUAU
rnacentral:sRNA from 1 species